rnacentral:rRNA from 1 species
ACGGGGUNAAUACCGGAUAACACUCCUGCCUGCAUGGGCGGGGGUUAAAAGCUCCGGCGGNGAAGGAUGAGCCCGCGGCCUAUCAGCUUGUUGGUGGGGUAAUGGCCCACCAAGGCGACGACGGGUAGCCGGCCUGAGAGGGCGACCGGCCACACUGGGACUGAGACACGGCCCAGACUCCUACGGGAGGCAGCAGUGGGGAAUAUUGCACAAUGGGCGAAAGCCUGAUGCAGCGACGCCGCGUGAGGGAUGACGGCCGGCGGGUUGUAAACCUCUUUCAGCAGGGAAGAAGCGAAAGUGACGGUACCUGCAGAAGAAGCGCCGGCUAACUACGUGCCAGCAGCCGCGGUAAUACGUAGGGCGCAAGCGUUGUCCGGAAUUAUUGGGCGUAAAGAGCUCGUAGGCGGCUUGUCACGUCGGAUGUGAAAGCCCGAGGCUUAACCUCGGGUCUGCAUUCGAUACGGGCUAGCUAGAGUGUGGUAGGGGAGAUCGGAAUUCCUGGUGUAGCGGUGAAAUGCGCAGAUAUCAGGAGGAACACCGGUGGCGAAGGCGGAUCUCUGGGCCAUUACUGACGCUGAGGAGCGAAAGCGUGGGGAGCGAACAGGAUUAGAUACCCUGGUAGUCCACGCCCGUAAACGUUGGGAACUAGGUGUUGGGCGACAUUCCACGUCGUCGGUGCCGCAGCUAACGCAUUAAGUUUCCCCGCCCUGGGGAGUACGGGCCGCAAGGCUNAAACUCAAAGGAAUUUGACGGGGGCCCCGCACAAGCAGCGGGAGCAUGUGGCUUAAUUUCGACGCAACGCGAAGAACCUUACCAAGGCUUGACAUNUNCCGGAAAGCAUUAGAAGAUAGUGGCCCCCCCUUGUGGCCGGG